GGUCCGUUGGCAGAAUUGGCAUUGCGUCUGACUACGACAGCUUCCUCUCUGGAUAAAACUAGAAAGGCUGUAAUCAGUUGACAUCAGGAGAUUCUGGGUUCGAUCCCCAGGCGGACCU